rnacentral:rRNA from 1 species
UACGUAGGGGGCUAGCGUUGUCCGGAAUCAUUGGGCGUAAAGCGCGUGUAGGCGGUCCGGUAAGUCCGCUGUGAAAGUCGGGGGCUCAACCCUCGGAUGCCGGUGGAUACUGUCGGGCUUGAGUACGGAAGAGGCGAGUGGAAUUCCUGGUGUAGCGGUGAAAUGCGCAGAGUAUCAGGAGGAACACCAAUUGCGAAGGCAGCUCGCUGGGACGUUACUGACGCUGAGACGCGAAAGCGUGGGGAGCAAACAGG